rnacentral:rRNA from 1 species
UACGAGGGGGGCGAGCGUUGUUCGGAAUUAUUGGGCGUAAAGGGUGCGUAGGCGGUUUGGUAAGUCUCUUGUGAAAUCUAUGGGCUCAACUCAUAGUCUGCAAGGGAAACUGCCGGGCUUGAGUGUGGAAGAGGUGAGUGGAAUUUCCGGUGUAGCGGUGAAAUGCGUAGAUAUCGGAAGGAACACCUGUGGCGAAAGCGGCUCACUGGACCACAACUGACGCUGAUGCACGAAAGCUAGGGGAGCAAACAGG